rnacentral:rRNA from 1 species
UGGGGAAUAUUGCACAAUGGGGGAAACCCUGAUGCAGCGACGCCGCGUGAACGAAGAAGGUAUUCGUAUCGUAAAGUUCUGUCCUAUGGGAAGAUAAUGACAGUACCAUAGAAGAAAGCUCCGGCUAAAUACGUGCCAGCAGCCGCGGUAAUACGUAUGGAGCGAGCGUUGUCCGGAAUUAUUGAGCGUAAAGGGUACGCAGGCGGUUUAAUAAGUCGAAUGUUAAAGAUCGGGGCUCAACCCCGCAAAGCAUUGGAAACUGAUAAACUUGAGUAGUGGAGAGGAAAGUGGAAUUCCUAGUGUAGUGGUGAAAUACGUAGAUAUUAGGAGGAAUACCAGUAGCGAAGGCGACUUUCUGGACACAAACUGACGCUGAGGUACGAAAGCGUGGGGAGCAAACAGG